rnacentral:rRNA from 1 species
AUCAGCUUGUUGGUGAGGUAAUGGCUCACCAAGGCUACGACGGGUAGCUGGUCUGAGAGGAUGAUCAGCCACACUGGGACUGAGAUACGGCCCAGACUCCUACGGGAGGCAGCAGUGGGGAAUUUUGCGCAAUGGGCGAAAGCCUGACGCAGCAACGCCGCGUGAGCGAAGAAGGCCUUCGGGUUGUAAAGCUCUGUCGGGGGGAAAGAAGGCACCUGGGUUAAUAGCCCAAGGGCUGACGGUACCCCCAAAGGAAGCCACGGCUAACUACGUGCCAGCAGCCGCGGUAAUACGUAGGUGGCAAGCGUUGUCCGGAAUCAUUGGGCGUAAAGAGCGCGUAGGUGGCUUGUCAGGUCUGGUGUGAAAUCCUGGGGCUCAACUCCAGAACUGCAUCGGAAACCGGCUUGCUAGAGUCUGGGAGAGGAGAGUGGAAUUCCUGGUGUAGCGGUGAAAUGCGUAGAUAUCAGGAGGAACACCGGUAGCGAAGGCGGCUCUCUGGAACAGUACUGACGCUGAGGCGCGAAAGCUAGGGGAGCGAACAGGAUUAGAUACCCUGGUAGUCCUAGCCGU